UGUAUUCAGAGAUGAGGUUUAUCGUGGAUACAGGCUCCAAGUGUGGGUACAACCCUUCCUUCCACAGGCUUAUUCCACAGCGCUGUUGGCAGUAUCAGGCCUGGUGCUGGUGAAAUGUUUCUACCUCUCUGUAGAUCAUUGCUGCUGAUACACCCCUGAGAUGAGAGCUCAGUGCAGACUGUGUCUUUCAUUAACCCCUCUGCAAUCACCAAGUUUCCUGCUGCUCAGAAGUGGAUUGGGAGUGGGGGCCUUCCUUUGGCUAUGCCUGUCUCUUCCUAAACCAAGUUUCUCCACCAUUCCAUGGAGAGCAACAUAUGUUUGUUUUUAGUCAGGCUGCUGGGCCCAGAGAUGCCUUAUUAAUGGACAAUCAUUUGAUUUGUGUAUCAAUGAGUAACUAGAGAGGGCAACUCAGCUCUUAUUUUUUACAGCCCUGGUUUCUCCAAGGAAACCUUGGACACUGCUCUUGAUUAACAGCACAGAUUGGAGCUCAGAGUUCUGACACAAGGCUGCUCUGCUGUUAGCAGCUGCACAGGCUUUAACUUUUCCUUUCUUCCUCCUCUCCUCCCCCCUAUUUUUUUUCCAUUGUAACUCAGAGUGCAUUUUUGCAAGAUAUCCCUGAAAUUACUAUUACUACAUCACAAUAUUAGAUCAAUGCAGUGGUAACACAGUCCAGAUUGUUAUGGCAUUUGCAUCUUGAUGCCUUCCAUACUGUCUUGUGGAAUCUAACCUAAUACCACGAUUAAAAUGCCUUUUCCAUUUCUCUAAGACACUCUGCCUGCUGCCAUUACAUAAACGUCUGCCUAUCUCGGGUUUUGUACUGGCACCCAGCACUGGGGUCUUUGGGAGCCUAAUGAAAAGAACCUCCACUCAUUAAAGGGAGAUGGAGGUCCUUGCCAAAGCCUGGGAUUAAAUUAGAGUCUGUUCGGUUUCUCUUCUCACUGACAUCAUUAUGAAUCAAGAAAAACACUCCAUUCAAGCUGUCUUAGAGCAGUGCAAAAGCAGUGCGAGUUCAGAAUCAAACCUGUUCAGUUUAACACCAGCCUCCCUCCAUCACCUCUGGCAGCUUGCUUCCAUUCUGCAACUCACCUGCUGAAAACAGCAACUCUUGGUAUAAUACUGUUCCUUCUCAUGGGAAAGCAACAAGCUUCAGAGACAGGAACUUUUCAAAAGCCACCCUCAGGUGGGAUGGGAGAGAGGAUAAGAAUUACCAAAAGGAUGAAAAAAGACACAUCUGAGCUCCAACAGAGGUAGUGCCACAGACUUUGAGGGUGGCAGAAACCACCUUGGUUGCUGCUGAAAAGAAGAGUGGGCUUCAGAUAUUAUGUGACCUUGGGCUCACUGCAGAAGAAGAAGCAGCAUCUCUGGUGAGGCACUGGGACACGCCAGAGAACUUGUGGACGCUCCAUCCCUGGAAGUGUUCAAGACAAGGUUGGAUGGGGUUUGCAGCAGCCUGGUUUAGUGUAAGGUGUCCCUGCCCACGGUGGGGGUUAGAACAGGAUGAUUGUGAAGGUCACUUUGCACCUAAACCAUUCCAUGAUUCCAUGUCCCUUGUUGAGAGCUCCAGCCCCAGUCUUGCACCCCUCUUCACAUCCCUGUGAGGAUUCAGACAAGCAAAGCAGAUGCACAGGGGGAGGCACCACUCAGACCACCAGAUUUUCCAAGCCUUUUCUCCAAAGGACUGUACUCAAAAUAGCUGAGAAUUCUCACUCUUGACCCACCAUGAAAGCAGAUGAGAGCAGCUGGCAGAGGAGCCUUCAUUUUUCGGUGCCCCAGGGAUUUUCAAAAAUGCCUUCCAGAAGGAUCAUACUAACAUUCCGCACAACAUCACAACAGCCAUCCUGUGCCAUUUUCACUUUAAAGCUGAAAAAACCACCUGAAUUUCAAGACUGACUCUAGAA